GAGAGUAUAGCUUGGUGACAGAGUGCAUGCUUAGCGUGCAUGAGGUCCUAGGUUCAAUCCCUAGUACCUUCA
rnacentral:tRNA from 1 species